GUGUGUAUGAAAGGAAAGAAGGCUAGCACUCUGCUUGACAAGGAUGAGAGAGGCCGUGACACACACACAGUUAAGGCAUUGCAACAUACUUCGUGCCAUCUAACCAUCUUUUUUU
rnacentral:ncRNA from 1 species